GAUGAAGAACGCAGCGAAAUGCGAUAAGUAAUGUGAAUUGCAGAAUUCAGUGAAUCAUCGAAUCUUUGAACGCACAUUGCGCCCGCUAGUAUUCUGGCGGGCAUGCCUGUUCGAGCGUCAUUUCAACCAUCAAGCCCUGCUUGUGUUGGGGUCCUGCGGCUGCCCGCAGGCCCUGAAAACCAGUGGCGGGCUCGCUAGUCACACCGAGCGCAGUAGCACAUCUCGCUCAGGGCGUGCGGCGGGUUCUUGCCGUAAAACACACCCUUUUUACCAAGGUUGACCUCGGAUCAGGUAGGAAUACCCGCUGAACUUAAGCAUAUCAAUAAGCGGAGGA
rnacentral:misc_RNA from 1 species